GACGAACGCUGGCGGCGUGCCUAAUGCAUGCAAGUCGAGCGGGCUACGAUCUUCGGAUUGUAGCUUAGCGGCGAACGGGUGAGUAACACGUAGGUAAUCUACCCUUCAGAGGAGGACAACCUCAGGAAACUGAGGCUAAACCUUCAUACGUUCACUGGUAGGGAUACUGGUGAAGAAAGAGUUACCUUAGUGGUAGCUGCUGAAGGAUGAGCCUGCGGCCCAUCAGGUAGUUGGUGAGGUAACGGCUCACCAAGCCGAAGACGGGUAACCGGUCUGAGAGGAUGUCCGGUCACACUGGGACUGAGACACGGCCCAGACUCCUACGGGAGGCAGCAGCAGGGAAUCUUGGGCAAUGGGCGAAAGCCUGACCCAGCGACGCCGCGUGAACGAGGGAGCCCUUCGGGUGUAAAGUUCUUUCUAUACGAGCAGUGCUAUAUAUAUGGAUAGUAUAUAUAGAGGGAUAGUAGUAUAGGAAUAAGCAACGGCUAACUCCGUGCC
rnacentral:rRNA from 1 species